rnacentral:rRNA from 1 species
AAUAAGUGUAGUUAGGAUAAAAAGAGAUUAAAUGAUAAAUCAUUAAAUUUAAAAAAUUUGGCGGUACUUAUAAUUUAGAGGAAUCUGUAUAGUAAUCGAUAAUCCACGAUAAGAGAUACUUAUUAAAAGUUUAUGUAUUGCUGUUUUAAAUAUUUAAUUGAGUUAAAUAUAAUAGAAUUUAUUAAAUUUAAUAAAGUAAUUCAAGUCAAAAUAUAGCUUUUUUAAGAUUUAAUAUGGAUUACAAUUAAUUUAAUUAUUUGGAUUAUAAAAUUUAAUUUUUAUAUGAAAAUGGAUUUAAAAGUAAAUUUAAUUAAUUAAUUAAAUUGAAUUAUUAAUAUAAGUAUGU